CUUGGAUUGGGCUCUCUCAAUAUCUGCCGAGGCAGAGCCUUCGUCCUCCGGGUACGUGCCUGGUGACGUGGACGACUACAUUUCGCAAUCUUCUUCAGGAAAAGCAGGAGGAGCCAAAGAAUACAAGCUAAUUUCACAAGGAGGAGGAGCCAAAGAAAAGCAGAACGCAGUGAUGACUUUGACUGCACACUACGCUUGAACCUGUCACAACUCCUUGUGGGCAUUCUUUUUGUCGUUCACGCCUAUUUCAGUCGGUGAGGAGGAUAAUGGAAGGCAACCGUCGGAUGAGAAUGGUUAUCACUGACUCUUCUUGGUUUUGCUUGUGAAGUGGAAAUUGCCGAAUUGAAAGUCGCCGACGGUGAUCUUGGGACCAAGAUGGGUACCGUGCUGCAGAGAUUGAAUGGGUACAGGACAUAUAUCCACCAGAAGGGUCUAGAGAGAGAGCAGACGUGAGUUCAUGACAAUUUGGUUUGCUGUAAUCUCUAUAUUGGAGGUGUGCUCUUUUCUUCUAUAUUUUUUUUUUAAAUUUGUUGUUGUAGAGAAUAGUAAGAAGCUUAAUAUUAAGCAGAGCUUAAAGUGUUGUGGAUAAGGCAACUUAUUUUACAUGUGACACGUGACCUAAUGGAAUU